rnacentral:lncRNA from 1 species
CAAUCACCUCACUGCCUUGCUAAUUAGAACCUAAAAUGAUUGUACACUGAUACACUCUUGUAGUGAGUAAUUAAUGGAUGAUGGAAAUAAUUAAUUGGAUUAAUUAAGUGUUGUGAUUAAUUUAGAAAGUCUAAAGAAAUCAUAAAAGCGAUAAAAGAUCGUUUUGGGCUUAAAGAAACGUUCGGGUUUAAUUGGGCCCAUUGGGCCUAAACCCAUUGGGUUUUUAUUCAAGCAUUGGAUGACUAGAAAUAAAUAAAAGCCCAAAGCCCAAAU